CUCCAACCCCUGUGACAUACCUAUACGUUGCCUCGGCGGAUCAGCCCGCGCCCCGUAAAAAGGGACGGCCCGCCCGAGGACCCCUAAACUCUGUUUUUAGUGGAACUUCUGAGUAAAACAAACAAAUAAAUCAAAACUUUCAACAACGGAUCUCUUGGUUCUGGCAUCGAUGAAGAACGCAGCAAAAUGCGAUAAGUAAUGUGAAUUGCAGAAUUCAGUGAAUCAUCGAAUCUUUGAACGCACAUUGCGCCCGCCAGUAUUCUGGCGGGCAUGCCUGUUCGAGCGUCAUUUCAACCCUCAAGCUCAGCUUGGUGUUGGGACUCGCGGUAACCCGCGUUCCCCAAAUCGAUUGGCGGUCACGUCGAGCUUCCAUAGCGUAGUAAUCAUACACCUCGUUACUGGUAAUCGUCGCGGCCACGCCGUAAAACCCCAACUUCUGAAUGUUGACCUCGGAUCAGGUAGGAAUACCCGCUGAACUUAAGCAUAU
rnacentral:rRNA from 1 species